UACGUAGGAGACGAACGUUAUCCGGAGUUACUGGGCGUAAAGGGCGUGUAGGCGGUUUGUCGCGUCUGCCGUGAAAAUCCGGGGCUCAACCCCGGACUUGCGGUGGGUACGGGCAGACUAGAGUGUGGUAGGGGAGACUGGAAUUCCUGGUGUAGCGGUGAAAUGCGCAGAUAUCAGGAGGAACACCGAUGGCGAAGGCAGGUCUCUGGGCAUUAACUGACGCUGAGGAGCGAAAGCAUGGGGAGCAAACGGG
rnacentral:rRNA from 1 species